UGCGUCACAUAAAUGAAAAAAAAAAAAAAAAAAUUGUCUAACAUAUUAUUUUGUAAAUUGUUACAUACUUAUUAUUUAAAUUUAUACAUUUUACAUUAAUCCCCUUGCACCCCACAAAAAAAAAAAAAGAAAAAAAAAUUAAAUAGAAUAAAAAAAAAAAAAAAAAAACAUGAACAUUGAUAAAUUAGACUUAUUAUAUACCUAUAAUCAUAGCAGAAUAAGCAGCUUACAUAAGGACCAAAAGUAUAAAGAUACCAACAAAAAUGUGAAAGUAAAUGACUUACCAAUAAAAGAACAAAUGGGUCAGCAUAAAGAUGUAUAUAUGAUCAAGCAAAAUAAAACUGGUGGCAACCAAAAUGAUGAAGUUAAAAUAAACUUGGGCGACAAAAUAAACAACAGUCAAAACAAAAAGUUAUUGAUAAAUAAUAAUACCAAAACAAAACAACACAUUUUAAAACAUGAUUUUUAUAGUAGAUUAAAAUCAAAUAAUGUGUUUAAUGGACAUGCAAGAGAAAUUGCAACAGUCCCUACAUUAAUAAGUAAUGACUGUAAAACGGUCAUAAAUCAUUAUGAUUUUUGUGCAAAUUAUAAUUCUAACCCAAAUGAAUUCAUUUCGAAACCAAAUGACACUACAGUAUUAAAUAACAAAUCGGAAUAUGAUCAACUUUUUUAUAAAAAUUUUAUUAGUGAUUUGGAUACAACUAGUAACAAGAUUAACACCGUAAACAAUAGAGGUAAUACAAAACAAAACAUAUUUGAUUAUUCAUUAUGUAACAAACAAAUAAAAACGAACAAAAAAAAGAAAGAGAAAGAGAAAAAGAAAGAGGAAGAAGAAGAGGAAGAGAACGCUAGGAAUAAAAAUAAUUAUAACACAAACGAACUAAAAGAAAAUGGUAUAAUAAACAGUGUAUGUUAUUCAAAUGUAAGUGGUACCGAUAAUUUGAGUGUAAGCGAAGUCAAAUCUGUUUAUAAUCCAAUUGUUGAUAGAGAAAAGGAAAUAAAAUUGGGUAACAACAAUAUUGAUCAUCAUGUCUAUAGUAAUUGUUGCAGUAAUUAUGGUGACAUUAGCAGAGACAACAGUUCCGAGUUAAAUAUAAAAAGUAUAUCACAACUAAAAAAUAAUUUAUUCACGAAUAAUAGACGCACCGAAUGUUUCGACCAUUACAACAUAAAUGAAAAAUAUAAUAUUAUUAGUAAUAAUAAAAAUAAUGAAUUAAUAACGUUUGCAAAUAAUGAUGUCGAAUUGAUAACACAAACACAUGCCCUUCACGUUAAGAGUGAGGAUGACUUUAUGUUAAGUGCCGAACGCAGUAAUAACAAAAUAGUUGUAAAUAACAAAAACGAACAAAAAAAACUUGGUAAGCAUUUUUUUAAAGCAAAAUUUAAUCAAAAUGAUAUAGCAUGCAAACAAUAUCAGCCACAGUAUUUUAUUCAAGAAGAUGUAAAAAAAUAUAUAUCUGACCCUGAAAAUGAGGGUGAUGAACUAGUAAAAGAGAAAAAAAAAAAAGANNNNNNNNNNNNNNNNNNNNNNNNNNNNNNNNNNNNNNNNNNNNNNNNNNNNNNNNNNNNNNNNNNNNNNNNNNNNNNNNNNNNNNNNNNNNNNNNNNNNUUUAUUAAACAGUUCGAAUACAUUACCUGAUAAUGCAAUAGAAAAAAAAAAAAAUGCUAUUUAUAAUGUUAAAAGUGUUAAAACUAUUGUGAAUGAAUUAGCUGACAAAAUGCAUCAUAUCGAUUCGGUUUACUUUGAAGGGCGAGUGAAGAGCAAACUGACUGGAGCUAAAUGUGAUCAAGCUGAAUCUGAUAGUAUAAAAAAAAAUAUUAACAAUGAUCAAAAUGCGCAAAUGGUUAAAUCAAGUGAACACAUAACUUGCUUAAAUAUUGGUGCAUUAAAAAAUGACAAUGCCGUUUUUCAGAGCCCAGGUAAUAACAAAAGUGAUAAAAAAUUAUGUAAUUAUAUGAGAGAACAAAAUAAAUUUUAUACUAAAAAAAAUAUUACUAGUAAAAUUUAUGUUACUAACAAUGCAAAAGAAACAAAAAAAAAUGAACAAUUAAUCGAAAUUGAAAAAAUUGAAAAAAGUGAAAAAAUUGAAAAAAUUGAAAAAAGUGAAAAAAUUGAAAAAAGUGAAAAAAUUGAGAAAGUAAAAUGUAAUGAAAAGCUUGAUGAUUUUUAUGCAUGCAAAAAAAACGCUUUUGAGGUUUUAAAAAAAAAAUUUUUAACUAUUAGCAAUCGUAACAACAAAAGCCGCAAUAGCAGUUAUAACAAUAAGAAUAAUUUUCGCACCCAAACCUGUGCCGCCGGCCCUAGUGAUAAUACGAUGCAAGAAGAAUCCUUAUGCCCUAUGCAACAAACAAAUCCGCAUAUGGUACCUUUUUCAAAAGAAUUGUCAUUUAAAAUAAACAAAGAAGAAACAAAAAAAAAUUUAACUGCUAUUGCUAAUAAAAAUAGCAAUUCCAAUAUUAGUAACGCAGGAAGUUACAGUAACACAGACAGUUGCAGUAACGCAGACAGUUGCAGUAACGCAGACAGUUGCAGUAACGCAGACAGUUGCAGUAACGCAGACAGUUGCAGUAACGCAGACAGUUACAGUAACGCAGACAGUUGCAGUAACGCAGACAGUUGCAGUAACGCAGACAGUUGCAGUAACGCAGACAGUUGCAGUAACACAGACAGUUGCGGUAACACAGACAGUUGCGGUAACAACUGCUUAAUCUCAAGUAGUUCCGAAAAAAUAGAUAUACUAUCACAUAAAAUAGAAGAAGAAAAAACAAACAAACACUUAAUUAAUCAGCAAAGCCAUAUCAGCCAUUCAUUUAAUAUAUUAAAAUAUAACAUGUGCACUGUUACUAGUAAUAACAAUAAUAAUAGUAAUAAUAAUAAUUAUAAUAAUAACAAUAAUAAUAUUAAUAAUAAUAAUAAUAAUAAUAAUAAUUGUUCAGGCAAUAUGACUAGGGGAAGGAUAAGUGUAACGAAUGAAGCAAGUGGUUUUAACAAAAAUUCAAACGGCUAUAAUAAAAAUAAGGUACAAAAUAUCCAAAUAAAUAAUACAUAUAAAAAAGAAACUAUAAACUGUUGUGAAAAACCAAAAAAACACGAGACUAAAACCUUGAGCUUUAUAAGUAACGAAACAACGCAUAUGAACAAAAAAGAUACGAAAAAAAAAUACGAUGUGUUAGGUAGUAAUAACAUUAACUGGGAUAGUGUUUUUCCUAAUAAUAUUACUGCUAGAGAUGUAGAAGAGCUAAACAAGCAUAAAUUAUUUUUUGAAGAAAUAUGUAUAUUCCGAAUAAAUGAACAUAAUGGACAACACAAUGAGAGUGGUAAUUAUGAUGAAUCCACUGAAAAGAAAAGAGACAAAAGCAUCAUGAAGAAAGUCGUACGAGUUGAUAAUGAUUUUAUUAAACGACGCGACUACAUCAGAGAAAAUGAAGAUUUGAACACACAUAAUCCAUUUGUCAUUUCUUCAGAUGGUGAGUAUAGUAAAAACGAAUUUGAAUUGGGAAAUCCAAAUUACGAAAACUUAUAUAAAGAAAUUAAAAAUUUAAUGAAAGAAGAAGAAACAUAUUCAAUCGAAAUGAAUGUUGGAUUAGUUUUUAAAAACUAUAUUACUAUAUCCAUUAUUUUUACAUGUAAUUAUUUAAUUCUGAAAAAAAAUGACAAAAACAUAGUAACUUGCAUUCCUUAUAGUAACAUUAACAAUGUAACUAUAGUAAAAAAAGGAAAAAAAAAUAAAGACAGAUAUACAUUCAAAGUGACAUAUGUAUUUAAAAAAAAAGAAGAUAAGGUUGAAAAAAAUAUUAGCCUAUUAUUUCGGUCGAAACGAAUGGAAAUAUUUGAAAAGCUACAAGAGAAAGUAAAAUACGUAUUAACAAAUACAAAAAAAGAGUAUUUAGAUAUAGAAGUUGUUUUCCAAUACUUAAUUAAUAAAAAUAAAAAAAUAUAUAUAUUGCAUGUACAUAAUUUAAUACAAAAUAUAUACAAAAUUGAUAAAAAAUAUAUAUGUAAAAAAGCAUUUGAUUUAUUAAAAAAUUAUAGUGAUCUUAUAAAAAAAGAAGAACUAUUAAAAAAAAAUAGAAUUCGGUUUAUACAAACCAGUAGUCAUAAAUUAGAAUUUGUAUUAAUAAAAAAAAUACAAAAUUAUUUAAAUAUAUUGCUUAUCAAAAGUUAUGAACAUAGUUUUAUAAAUUACCAAGUGAAAACAAAUGAUUUAUUGUGCAGUAUGAUAGUAAAAGAAAAACAUAUUUAUGAAGAAAAAAUAAUAAAACGAAAUUUGUUAAUAUUACACAAUGCACUAUUAACGAUGUACAAAAACCGUAUGUCUAAAUAUUUUCGUUCUUUUUUUAAUAACAAUAAAGUUGUUAGUCAAACAAAACAUAUACUUACAUAUGCAUUAUCUCAUGUGAACCAUAUAUUAAUACAUUAUCAAAAAAGGUUACAAAUGUUUGUAUUAUCCAAACUUAGAUUUAGUUAUGAAAACACAACUUACUUUACUUUUGUCAUGUAUAAAAUAUAUUUGAGAAAAGUAUUUUGGGCCUAUAUCCGAUUGAGAAACAACAGUGUUAACAUAAAAUUGUUUAAAGAAAAUAAUGUUUAUCGGUUAAUUAAAACGUUAACCAAAAUGUUAGAUAAUCAAAAAUAUUAUGCUUUUUUACAAAUACAAAAAUAUAUAUAUGAUAAAAAAGAUAAAAAAAACCAAGAAAUAUGUAACAACUUAAUGUAUGCAAAUGACGAACUAUCAAAUAAUUUAGAUAAAAUAGAAAUAGAAAAAGGAAUUAACAAAAUUGAUGCUGUUUUAAAAUUUAAACUUAAAGAAAGUAUAUUAAAAAUGUUUUAUACAUUAAAAGGACCACAAAUAAACACAACAUAUGCUCAUCUAUAUAUCAAAUAUUCAAGUGUUUUUUCAUUCAUAUUAAAUAAAAUUGUACAACGAAAAGUAAAAAAUAUAUUCUACCACUUCUUGUUAAAAUGUUAUCAAAAUAAUCAUAAGCAAAGACUUAUAUAUUCUAUCCAGUGUUUAGAAAAUAUAAUUAAAAAAAAAGAAAAAAAAAAUACAAUCUACCUAUUACAACUGUUGGAUCAUUACCCAUAUCUAUUCAAAUAUAAAAACUUAACUGUAAUUGAAAUAUUUAUAAUUAGUAUAACAAAUUUUAUUAACUUCUGUAAUAAAAAACUACUAGUCAAUUUUAUGUUAAAAUUACAUUAUAUCAAAUACCAAAAAAAUAUUAUGAAUACUUAUAAAUGUAUUAACAAUAUUUAUAGAUUUAUACAUGUAAUCCAUAAAAAAAUAAAUAAAACAACAAAACCAGCAUUUUUACUACUCAAACAAUAUGCAUAUCACAAAACAAAUGAAAUUGUUACCGAACAAAUUAAAGAAAAAAAAACACAACUCAAAUUAAAUAAACAUAUAUUAAACACAGAACAUAAAAGUUAUUAUCCUUCAUCCCGCUCAUCUUCUUCUUCUUUUUUUUUAAAAAAUAAACAUUUAUAUACACCCAACGAGUUUAUCUUUGACUAUGGAAACAUAAACGAUAGUAACUACAACUCUGAGACUAAUACUAAUAUUCAUGAUACAUCAUAUACGGUUGAAUUAAUGAAGAAGCAUCCUUUUUUAGCACAUAACUACCCAAUAUCAGAAAAAGGUCUAAUCCCAUCAGGUACUACAAAAAUACCAAAAAUGGAAAACAAAGAAAAANNNNNNNNNNNNNNNNNNNNNNNNNNNNNNNNNNNNNNNNNNNNNNNNNNNNNNNNNNN
rnacentral:lncRNA from 1 species